GCGGCUGUGCUGGAACUGGUAGACAGGCCAGCUUGAGGUGCUGGUGUCCAAUCGACGUGUGGGUUCAAAUCCCGUCAGCCGCACCA
rnacentral:tRNA from 1 species